UACAGAGGUCCCGAGCGUUGUUCGGAUUCACUGGGCGUAAAGGGUACCUAGACAGCAUUAUGAGCCUUACAUAAGGGACUAUUUUGCUAGAGUUUUAUAUACAGGAGGAUAUUUGUAGUAUUGAAGGAGUAGAGAUAAAAUUUGUUGAUAUCUUCAGGACGGAUAAAGGUGAAAACAAACCUCUAUGUAUAAACAGACGUUGAGGGACGAAGGCAUUGUGUAACGAACAGG
rnacentral:rRNA from 1 species